GACGAACGCUGGCGGCGUGCCUAAUACAUGCAAGUCGAACGCACUCUCGUUUAGAUUGAAGGAGCUUGCUCCUGAUUGAUAAACAUUUGAGUGAGUGGCGGACGGGUGAGUAACACGUGGGUAACCUGCCCUAAAGUGGGGGAUAACAUUUGGAAACAGAUGCUAAUACCGCAUAAAACCUAACACCGCAUGGUGUAGGGUUGAAAGAUGGUUUCGGCUAUCACUUUAGGAUGGACCCGCGGUGCAUUAGUUAGUUGGUGAGGUAAAGGCUCACCAAGACCGUGAUGCAUAGCCGACCUGAGGGGUAAUCGGCCACACUGGGACUGAGACACGGCCCAGACUCCUACGGGAGGCAGCAGUAGGGAAUCUUCCACAAUGGACGAAAGUCUGAUGGAGCAACGCCGCGUGAGUGAAGAA
rnacentral:rRNA from 1 species